rnacentral:rRNA from 1 species
UACGUAGGUGGCAAGCGUUGUCCGGAUUUACUGGGUGUAAAGGGCGUGUAGCCGGGCUGACAAGUCAGAUGUGAAAUCCGGGGGCUCAACCCCCGAACUGCAUUUGAAACUGUUGGUCUUGAGUAUCGGAGAGGCAGGCGGAAUUCCUAGUGAAGCGGUGAAAUGCGUAGAUAUUAGGAGGAACACCAGUGGCGAAGGCGGCCUGCUGGACGACAACUGACGGUGAGGCGCGAAAGCGUGGGGAGCAAACAGG